rnacentral:rRNA from 1 species
CACGUAGGGGGCAAGCGUUGUCCGGAUUUAUUGGGCGUAAAGAGCUCGUAGGCGGUCUGUCGCGUCGGCUGUGAAAACUCGGGGCUCAACUCCGAGCUUGCAGUCGAUACGGGCAGGCUAGAGUUCGGCAGGGGGAGACUGGAAUUCCUGGUGUAGCGGUGAAAUGCGCAGAUAUCAGGAGGAACACCCGUGGCGAAGGCGGCCCACUGGGCCGGUGCUGACGCUGAGGCGCGAAGGCGUGGGGAGCGAACGGG